UACAGAGGUCCCAAGCGUUGUUCGGAUUCAUUGGGCGUAAAGGGUGCGUAGGCGGCGCGGUAAGUCGGGUGUGAAAUCUCGGAGCUUAACUCCGAAACUGCAUUCGAUACUGCCGUGCUUGAGGACUGGAGAGGAGACUGGAAUUUACGGUGUAGCGGUGAAAUGCGUAGAUAUCGUAAGGAAGACCAGUGGCGAAGGCGGGUCUCUGGGGUCGUACCUGACGCUGAGGCGCGAAAGCGUGGGGAGGCGAACGGG
rnacentral:rRNA from 1 species